GAUGAACGCUGGCGGUAUGCCUAACACAUGCAAGUCGUACGAGAGUUUUUAACUCUAGUGGCGGACGGGUGAGUAACACGUGAGAAUUUGCCUUUAGGAGGGGGACAACAAUCGGAAACGAAUGCUAAUACCCCAUAUGCUUUCGAGUGAAAUGGAUUUUAUCCGCCUAGAGAGAAGCUCGCGGCUGAUUAGCUUGUUGGUAAGGUAAGAGCUUACCAAGGCGACGAUCAGUAUCUGGUUUGAGAGGACGAUCAGACACACUGGAACUGAGACACGGUCCAGACUCCUACGGGAGGCAGCAGUGGGGAAUUUUCCGCAAUGGGCGAAAGCCUGACGGAGCAAUACCGCGUGAGGGAAGAAUGCCUAUGGGUUGUAAACCUCUUUUUUCAGGGAGGAAUCAAAUGACGUGUACCUGAAGAAUAAGCAUCGGCUAACUCCGUG
rnacentral:rRNA from 1 species